rnacentral:rRNA from 1 species
CUACGGGUCGCUGCAGUGAGGAAUAUUGCACAAUGGGGGGAACCCUGAUGCAGCAACGCCGCGUGGAGGAUGACGCAUUUCGGUGUGUAAACUCCUUUUAUAUGUCAAGAAAAUGACGGUAGCAUAUGAAUAAGUACCGGCUAACUCCGUGCCAGCAGCCGCGGUAAUAGGAGGGUGCAAGCGUUACUCGGAAUCACUGGGCGUAAAGGACGCGUAGGCGGGUUGGAAAGUCAGGUGUGAAAUCCUACAGCUUAACUGUAGAACUGCACUUGAAACUUCUAAUCUAGAGUAUGGGAGGGGGAGAUGGAAUUAGUGGUGUAGGGGUAAAAUCCGUAGAUAUCACUAGGAAUACCUAAAGCGAAGGCGAUCUCCUGGAACAUUACUGACGCUAAGGCGUGAAAGCGUGGGGAGCAAACAGGAUUAGAUACCCCUGUAGUC